UCCACAAUUUUUGCCAGGAUCCAGGUUUUUUGAGUGAUUUUUUUGCUGCAACCAGUCAAAAAAUUUUCUACCAUCGUUUUCUUUUUUGCUACCACCGUAGGUAUCUUUUGAUUUCUUUUUGCUUAACUAGAUCCAUCUUUUUUGCUGGAAUCACUCAAACUUUUUGUUACCAUGGUCUUCGAUUUUUGCUACAGCCGUCUUAGUUUUUGCUACCAACCCGUUUUUGACUUUUUUGCUUGAUCCAUCUUAUUUUUGCUGGAACCACUCCAAGCUUUGCUAUAAUGGUGUUUGAUUUUUUCUACCACCGUCUUUUGUGUUUUGCUACUCCCCAUUUUCUGAUUUUUUGCUGGAUCGAUCUUUUUUGCUGGAACCAUUCAAAGAGAGAGAAAAAGGAGGCCGUGAAUGGCGUGGAGGGGGAUGCAAACAUAUUUUUUUUGCUACAACCAGCGUCCUAGGAAGCUUCAAUCGAAGGCAAUGAAUUUUGGGGACCGGCCACACCAUGCGACCGCGAAAGCUGGAACCGUCGCCGAAAAAAGCUUCAACCGUUUUGUGAAAAAGCUUCAAUGGGCGUGAGAAAAAAGCUGCAGCCGACGGCAUAGCGGUACGGCGACCGACGGCGAGUACGGCGACUGGUGGCGAGCUGGUGAUGCUUCAAGACAGGCCUCAAAGCGUCCAUGGCGGUGUCCAGGGCAAAAAGUUGGAUGCGAUUUUUUCUAGCAAAAGAAAGCGAUGCAAAAAGGUUGAUCUGACGGGGUUGGCAAAAAGAUAAACUGACGUGUCAGAUGUGACCGGUCGAACCGUUCCGCCGGUGCAUGCGUACAAGCCAAGGCUCGAACCUGCGUCGGCCACGAGACACACCGCCUCGCUGGCCACUGGGCUAGGAGCCCAUCCACUGUGAAGAUAAGAAUACGUAGAAUAUAUGUCAUUAAUUACCAAAUUAUUAUUCUACUUUAACUAUUGUGAACAAAAGUUAACUAAAAAUGGAGACCACCUUUUAGUACUUGGUCAUGAUAUCUUAUGGAUGCACUUCGAUAUCUUCGUCUAGAAGUCUAGAUAUGGCACGUCAUUUCAUAUCCUUUGGACAUUAUGUGUUAUCACUCUGGCUUUCAGUUGGGACCGCUUAUUAGUACUUGGUAAUCUUAUCUUGUGGAUGCACCUUUAUAUGUCUUUUUCUAGAAGUUCUGAGUUGCCACGUAAUUCCAUAUCCUUUUGACAUUAUAUAUUGUCCCUCUGGCUCUUGUCGGAAUGUAUACUGAAAGAAUGGACAGAAGGUCUGUCAUCGCUUGUUUUCUCGUGAUGCUUGUGUUGUUCGAAAGCGCAUCUGCAGACUGUGAGGAUGUUCAAUUUCAGAUCUUGUUCUGCAUCAAAUCAUCAUGCGAGGAUAUAUGCAAGUUUCAGUGGAAGGGUAAGAAGGUCUACAAUCCUUGGUGUGAUAAGUUCUUCGGUGGCUACUGCCACUGCAAGAUUUGCCAUGAUGGAUAGAACUUAAUGGAUAUGUUAGGCGCACUUCAUGCUAGAAAUAAAUAAGUCAUAACUUUGUGUCCUGAAUCACUGAUUUAUGCAUGGGAUUGUAUGUUUGGGAGAGCGUCAUGCCAUGUGAGACAUAAUCUAUACUAGAUAGGUUGGACACACUAUGCUGCGCCGUUGGUGUUGUUGGGUUUCCUAAAAAACAAUACUCACCAUGUUUCAAAAUAUGAGGUGUAUUAAUAUUUUGAAAAGUCCAA